rnacentral:rRNA from 1 species
GCCUAACACAUGCAAGUCGAACGGCAGCACGGGGGCAACCCUGGUGGCGAGUGGCGAACGGGUGAGUAAUGUAUCGGAACGUACCCCGUCGUGGGGGAUAACUCUCCGAAAGGAGGGCUAAUACCGCAUACGACCUGAGGGUGAAAGCGGGGGACCUGCAAGGGCCUCGCGCGAUGGGAGCGGCCGAUAUCGGAUUAGCUAGUUGGUGAGGUAAAGGCUCACCAAGGCGACGAUCCGUAGCGGGUCUGAGAGGACGACCCGCCACACUGGAACUGAGACACGGUCCAGACUCCUACGGGAGGCAGCAGUGGGGAAUUUUGGACAAUGGGGGAAACCCUGAUCCAGCCAUUCCGCGUGAGUGAAGAAGGCCUUCGGGUUGUAAAGCUCUUUCAGCAGGAACGAAACGGUAGGCUUUAAUACAGUCUGCUAAUGACGGUACCUGCAGAAGAAGCACCGGCUAACUACGUGCCAGCAGCCGCGGUAAUACGUAGGGUGCGAGCGUUAAUCGGAAUUACUGGGCGUAAAGCGUGCGCAGGCGGCGACAUAAGACAGAUGUGAAAUCCCCGGGCUCAACCUGGGAACUGCGUUUGUGACUGUGUUGCUAGAGUGUAGCAGAGGGGGGUGGAAUUCCACGUGUAGCAGCGAAAUGCGUAGAGAUGUGGAGGAACACCGAUGGCGAAGGCAGCCCCCUGGGUUAACACUGACGCUCAUGCACGAAAGCGUGGGGAGCAAACAGGAUUAGAUACCCUGGUAGUCCACGCCCUAAACGAUGCCAACUAGGUGUUGGGGGGAGGAGACUUCCUUAGUACCGUAGCUAACGCGUGAAGUUGGCCGCCUGGGGAGUACGGUCGCAAGAUUAAAACUCAAAGGAAUUGACGGGGACCCGCACAAGCGGUGGAUGAUGUGGAUUAAUUCGAUGCAACGCGAAAAACCUUACCUACCCUUGACAUGUCCGGAAUCCUGAAGAGAUUUGGGAGUGCUCGAAAGAGAACCGGAACACAGGUGCUGCAUGGCUGUCGUCAGCUCGUGUCGUGAGAUGUUGGGUUAAGUCCCGCAACGAGCGCAACCCUUAUCAUUAGUUGCCAUCAUUUAGUUGGGCACUCUAAUGAGACUGCCGGUGACAAACCGGAGGAAGGUGGGGAUGACGUCAAGUCCUCAUGGCCCUUAUGGGUAGGGCUUCACGCGUCAUACAAUGGUCGGUACAGAGGGUUGCCAACCCGCGAGGGGGAGCUAAUCUCACAAAGCCGAUCGUAGUCCGGAUCGCAGUCUGCAACUCGACUGCGUGAAGUCGGAAUCGCUAGUAAUCGUGGAUCAGCAUGUCACGGUGAAUACGUUCCCGGGCCUUGUACACACCGCCC